CUCUACUGAUCUCUGUAUUGUGCCACAUGUCUGGGCCACUGACUCUACAGUGAUGGGAUUGAGGAACUGAGGAG